GCCAGGUGUGGUGGCGGGCGCCUGUAAUCCCCGCUACUCGGAAGGCUGAUGCAGGACAAUCACUUGAACCUGGGAGACAGAGGUUGCAGUGAGCUGAGAUUGUGCCAUUUGCACUCCAGCCUGGACCACAGAGCAAGACUCCAUCUCAGGAAAAAAAAAAAAAAAAAGCCCAGGCUGGAGUGCAAUGGCGCGAUCUCGGCUCACCGCAACCUCUGCCUCCCACGUUCAAGUGGUUCUCCUGCCUCAG
rnacentral:sRNA from 1 species